GACGAACGCUGGCGGCGUGCUUAACACAUGCAAGUCGAGCGGUAAGGCUCCUUCGGGAGUACACGAGCGGCGAACGGGUGAGUAACACGUGGGUGACCUGCCCUCAGCUCUGGGAUAAGCCUGGGAAACCGGGUCUAAUACUGGAUAUGACUCCAUGACGCAUGUUGUGGGGUGGAAAGCCUUGUGCGGCUGAGGAUGGGCCCGCGGCCUAUCAGCUUGNGGUGGGGUGAUGGCCUACCAAGGCGACGACGGGUAGCCGGCCUGAGAGGGCGACCGGCCACACUGGGACUGAGACACGGCCCAGACUCCUACGGGAGGCAGCAGUGGGGAAUCUUGCGCAAUGGGCGAAAGCCUGACGCAGCGACGCCGCGUGAGGGAUGAC
rnacentral:rRNA from 1 species